rnacentral:lncRNA from 1 species
UGUCACAAUUUUUAAGAUUCCUUAUUUCCUCGUUCUUGCUCACACAUAUCACCAUGUCCUCAUAUCUCUAUAUAACAACAGAAUAAAUGAACAUCUCCGAACAAUCCAAAGAGAAAAUCUAUCAUACCUAAAUACACGAGAUAUAUAGAUAUGGAGACUGUACUGGUGAUUGUGGGAGCUGGACCAGCUGGUUUAGCAACAUCUGUUUGUCUAAACCAACACUCAAUCCCAAACGUGAUCCUCGAGGAAGAAGACAUCUAUGCAUCACUUGGGAAGAAAUGAGUUUAUGAUCAUCUCAAACUUCACUUAGCUAAAACAUUUGCGAGCUUCCUUUCAUGAUGCACGGUCCCAAUGUUCCAAUCUUCAUGCCCAAAGAACUUUUCAUCAACUAGCUUUACUACACCUACAAAGUGACGUACAUGUCUAGCAUUUUACGGGAUCAAGAUAAACAUAUUAAUAUUUUACUACAAACUUUUUAUGAAAAUCUAAUUAAUAUACCAAUAAAAAUAUAUAAAACCAUUUUAUAUGCACUAGUUUUAGCGAAAAGAUAAAAUUAUAUUAGUAAGAAAAUUAUCAUAAAAUUAUAUAGGUGAUUGCGAACAUCUUCAUCAUAUAUAUAUAUGUUAACUGAAAUAUAUAUAGUUUACAUUUCAAGUUAUAAGUGAUAAACUAAUAUAAAAAUGUAAAAAGAAAAUAUUAACCAAUAAAAUAUUUGCUAAAAUAUGGAAAAAACAAAAGAAAAUAUUCAUAAAAAGUCAUCAAAUGUCUAGCCGUACAUCCAUUUUCAUUUCUCUUCUCGUGCGACCUAACUCUCACACUUGUUUGUUUCUUUUAUUAAACAUUAAAGCAACUAAAUUUUUCGAUGGUUUCAAUUUUCAAAAGGAUAAAUUGUAGAAGAAGAAUCUGUUUCGACUUUCGUAUAUCCGAACAUUAGGAAACGUUUUUCAUCACUACCAAUCUGAACUUGCGUGGGCAUACGAAGAAACCAUUAUUUGGAUACAUGCAAAGUAAAUCAAUAUGUGUCAUUUCUUUGUUAAACAAUAUGUGUAAUGACUUCAUAAAUGAUGCAGUUCAUUUUGAAUAUAUAUUUUAUAACUUUCCCAAAAUAUUAAGAGAACAGCGAUAAGACUAAAUAACACGUAUCACUCUAUGACUGAUCAUUUCAAUAUAAUCUCUGCUCUUUUUUUUUGAAACUUAUAAUGGUUCUUGUUUUUAAUAUAAUUUAUAUAGAUAGAAGAAACAAUCUUAUAGAAUUUUAAAUAUAAUUUCGGAAAAUGACCAAAUACAAAAAUAUGAGUCCAUUUCUAUUGAAAAUUGAAAAAUGCAAUCGCAUUUUAAAGAUGACCGUAGUAAUUUUGCAAUAAAUAUGACACUAAUAUCGUCUUUUACCGCGAAUUUAGAUAGUCAAGUUAAUUUGUAACUAUUUUAAACAUACGCCUUUAUUUUUAAGUAGUUCACUGUAAAUAUAUAAUAAUGGGUGUCAGUAAAAUUUUAAGAAAAUUUGGUCAAUUUUGUUUAAAAAAUUAUUUUUUAGAACUUUAGUAGUCAUCCACUUACAUACUUGAUUUGUAUUUCAAAAUUAAAUAAAGAAUCUCAAAAUAAUAAAUGUUUUCAGAUUCUGUAUUGGCUAGUCUUAUCAAAUACAUACAAACCAAGUAUUAAUAUCUAAGAAAGUAUAGUAGUAAAUAUCAUAGUCAAAAAUGUUAAAAUAAAAUACCAUAGUCAAAACAGAAGUAUAUUAUCAUACAUCCUCUCUGCCAACUCAACAUUUAAGUUGUAAGCCACGCAGAUUAAGGAACAUAUGGUUAUAUUUGUUACCUUAUUCUCUUAAAUUCGUAACGUUUAUGCUAGGCUGUUUUUCAACUGAACUCUCAUUUAUUUACAGAAAUUAGGUACAUAGUUUCAAAACAGUCCAGGACUAAUAAAAACCAUUUUGCAUUUUCUUACAAGUGUCAAAAAUUUUAAGAUUCCGUAUUUCCUCGUUUCUGCUUACACAUAUCACCAUGUCCUCAUAUCUCUAUAUAACAACAUAAUUAAUGAAUAUCCCCGAACAACCCAAAGAGAAAAUCUAUCGUACCUUAACACAAGAGAUAUAUAGAUAUGGAGACUGUAGUGGUGAUUGUGGGAGCUGGACCAGCUUGUUUAGCAACAUCUGUUUCUCUAAACCAACACUCAAUCCCAAACGUGAUCCUCGAGAAAGAAGACAUCUAUGCAUCACUUGGGAAGAAAUGAGCUUAUGAUCAUCUCAAACUUCACUUAGCUAAAAAAAAUUGCGGGCUUCCUUUUAUGAUGCACGGUCCCAAUGUUCCAAUCUUCAUGUCCAAAUAACUUUUCAUCAACUUGCUUUACACCUACAAAGUGACGUACAUGUCUAGCAUUUUACGGGUUCAAGAUAAACAUAUUAAUAUUUUACUACAAACUUUUUAUGAAAAUCUAAUUAAUAUACCAAUAAAUAUAUAAAACCAUUUUAUAUGCAC